UUUUAAGCAUAAGUAUGUCCCAUGUAAUAUUGGAGAUAUAUUUAUACUAAAA
rnacentral:pre_miRNA from 1 species